rnacentral:rRNA from 1 species
UGCAGAAUCCCGUGAACCAUCGAGUCUUUGAACGCAAGUUGCGCCCGAUGCCAUUAGGUUGAGGGCACGUCUGCUUGGGUGUCACAU